ACUCCUACGGGAGGCAGCAGUGGGGAAUAUUGCACAAUGGGCGCAAGCCUGAUGCAGCCAUGCCGCGUGUAUGAAGAAGGCCUUCGGGUUGUAAAGUAACUUUCAGCAGUGAGGAAGGAUGGGUAUGUUAAUAGCAUAUUCAUUUGACGUUAGCUGCAGAAGAAGCACCGGCUAACUCCGUGCCAGCAGCCGCGGUAAUACGGAGGGUGCGAGCGUUAAUCGGAAUUACUGGGCGUAAAGCGCAUGUCAGGUGGUUUGUUAAGUCAGAUGUGAAAGCCCGGGGCUCAACCUCGGAAUUGCAUUUGAAACUGGCAAACUAGAGUACUGUAGAGGGGGUAGAAUUUCAGGUG
rnacentral:rRNA from 1 species